AUUUCCGGCGUUGACUCCAAUUGAACCGCAGGCUUCACCCCUUGUGGUGCUCCCCCGCCAAUUCCUUUAAGUUUCAGUCUUGCGACCGUACUCCCCAGGCGGCAGACUUAACGGCUUCCCUGCGGCACUGGGCUGGCACAAGGCUAGCCCAUCACCGAGUCUGCAUCGUUUACAGCUGGGACUACCCGGGUAUCUAAUCCGGUUUGCUCCCCCAGCUUUCAUCCCUCACCGUCGAGCGCGUUCUGGCAAGCCGCCUUCGCCACUGGUGGUCUUCAGUGGAUCAGUGGAUUUUACCCCUACCCACUAAGUACCGCUUGCCUCUCCCGCCUCCUAGCCCUGUAGUAUCCUCCGCAGCCCAUCUGUUGAGCAGGUGGAUUUAACGGAGGACUUGCAGAACAAGCUACGGAUGCUUUAGGCCCAAUAAUCGUCCCGACCACUCGGGGUGCUGGUAUUACCGCGGCGGCUGACACCAGACUUGCCCACCCCUUAUUCUGCACCAUUUUUAGAGGUGCCAAAAGAUGCCCUUAGCGGGCAUCACUCAGAGUAACCCUGUCAAGCUUUCGCCUAUUGCAGAGGUUUCGCGCCUGCUGCGCCCCAUAGGGCCUGGGCCCUUGUCUCAGUGCCCAUCUCCGGGCUCCUUCUCUCAAAGCCCGUACCGGUUAUUGGUUUGGUGGGCCAUUACCCCACCAACAGCCUGAUCGGCCGCAGUCCAAUCCAGGGGCCAUAUAGGUUUCAGCCAUUGUCCAUUCCAGAAACCUUGGCCUAUCGCAGUUUAUCCUCAGUUUCCCGAGGUUAUCCACGUCCCCUGGGCAUGUUGACUACGUGUUACUGAGCCGUAUGCCACGCCUUGCGGCGUUGACUCGCAUGGCUUAGCCCCACUCUGAUAGCAGUCGGGUCCCGGCAGGAUCAACCGGAAAAU
rnacentral:rRNA from 1 species